ACCAGACUCCUACGGGAGGCAGCAGUGGGGAAUAUUGCACAAUGGGGGAAACCCUGAUGCAGCGACGCCGCGUGAGUGAAGAAGUAAUUCGUUAUGUAAAGCUCUAUCAGCAGGGAAGAAAAUGACGGUACCUGAGUAAGAAGCCCCGGCUAACUACGUGCCAGCAGCCGCGGUAAUACGGAGGGUGCGAGCGUUAUCCGGAUUUACUGGGUGUAAAGGGAGCGUAGACGGCCAUGCAAGCUCGGUGUGAAAGGUGCGGGCACAACCCGCAGACUGCACUGAGAACUGUAUGGCUGGAGUGCCGGAGGGGCAGGCGGAAUUCCUGGUGUAGCGGUGAAAUGCGUAGAUAUCAGGAGGAACACCGGUGGCGAAGGCGGCCUGCUGGACGGCGACUGACGUUGAGGCUCGAAAGCGUGGGGAGCAAACAGGAUUAGAUACCCCUGUAUC
rnacentral:rRNA from 1 species